GCCUACGGGAGGCAGCAGUAGGGAAUCUUCCACAAUGGGCGAAAGCCUGAUGGAGCAACGCCGCGUGGGUGAAGAAGGUCUUCGGAUCGUAAAACCCUGUUGUUAGAAAAGAAAGUGCGUGAGAGUAACUGUUCACGUUUCGACGGUAUCUAACCAGAAAGCCACGGCUAACUACGUGCCAGCAGCCGCGGUAAUACGUAGGUGGCAAGCGUUAUCCGGAUUUAUUGGGCGUAAAGGGAACGCAGGCGGUCUUUUAAGUCUGAUGUGAGAGCCUUCGGCUUAACCGGAGUAGUGCAUUGGAAACU
rnacentral:rRNA from 1 species